ensembl:snoRNA
AGCCAGUGAUGAAAUCCACAUUUCUGACACCUCGUAUGAGUAUUGCCACUACCAAUACUUGAUUAUGCUUGAGAUCUGAGGCUG